rnacentral:tRNA from 2 species
GCGGGUAUCGUAUAGCGGCUAUUAUGCUACCUUGCCAAGGUAGAGAUGAGGGUUCGACUCCCUCUACCCGCUCCA